AAGUUUGGUGGCAACUCUAUUCGAAUCAUUUUUUCCACAACCAUCACGAAGGAUCGUAUUUUUCGAGAUAUGACAGCUGGCGACUCUGUUGGGGACAUGCUCUAAGCUAGAGAAGUCAAGCCUAACUUAAUUCGACUUGCGAUGAUUGUUAGCUUUGUUUAUUUGCUUUCUUCUAUCUCUUGCCUUUAUCUUAUGUCAUGCCUUAUUUUUAUCUUGUAUCUGUUACUUGGAUCUCUUGAGCUCUUGAUUUGGAUACUCCAAUGGCUUGAAACCUUG
rnacentral:lncRNA from 1 species